AGAUGCAAACUGUGUUAGCUCUACGCGAAUAUUUGUGUGGUCUGCAAUCUGACACCGGCAGGACCAUAAUAGAUUAUGGUGAAUAUUCAGCGACAUGUUCUGACAUAUAUGAAUCUUUUGCCGAUGGGAAGUGUCUCGACAAUGUAUUCAUACAGUGUUUCAUCCAAUGUGUUAUUGAUGAUGCAAAAAAUCAGCAGACUUCCAUGAGUUCGAACAGUUUGGUUCUUGAUGUUAAUGUUGGGUCACUACUCAACUUUGAGGAACAGGAACGACACAGUCGCAACCCUCAACCUUUUGAUGAAUCUGUACUCCACACACUUCUAGACAAUUCAUUGCCUGAGACAGAUGAAUUGGACCAAUGCAAAGCGAUCAUGGUCCCCAUGGUAAGCAGGGGGCAUUGGACAUUGUAUGUUGU